rnacentral:rRNA from 1 species
UAGUCCACACUGUAAACGAUGAGUACUAGGUGUUGGAGGUAUUGACCCCUUCAGUGCCGCAGCUAACGCAUUAAGUACUCCGCCUGGGAACUACGGCCGCAAGGCUGAAACUCAAAGGAAUUGACGGGGGCCCGCACAAGCGGUGGAGCAUGUUGUUUAAUUCGAGGCAACGCGAAGAACCUUACCUGGGUUUGACAUCCCCGGCCAGCCUAUGAAAGUAGGUUUUCCCGCAAGGGACCGGUGGACAGGUGCUGCAUGGCUGUCGUCAGCUCGUGUCGUGAGAUGUUGGGUUAAGUCCCGCAACGAGCGCAACCCUUAUCUCUAGUUGCCAUCAGUUCGGCUGGGAACUCUAGAGAGACUGCCCGGGACAACCGGGAGGAAGGUGGGGAUGACGUCAAGUCCUCAUGGCCUUUAUAUCCAGGGCUACAAACGUGCUACAAUGGCAGAUACAAUGGGCUGCGAAGCGGUGACGUGGAGCCAAUCCCUAAAGUCUGUCUCAGUUCGGAUAGCAGG